CCUUGUAGCGGGGAUAACUAUUGGAAACGAUAGCUAAUACCGCAUAACAAUGGAUGACACAUGUCAUUUAUUUGAAAGGGGCAAUUGCUCCACUACAAGAUGGACCUGCGUUGUAUUAGCUAGUAGGUGAGGUAACGGCUCACCUAGGCGACGAUACAUAGCCGACCUGAGAGGGUGAUCGGCCACACUGGGACUGAGACACGGCCCAGACUCCUACGGGAGGCAGCAGUAGGGAAUCUUCGGCAAGUGGGGCAACCCUGACCGAGCAACGCCGCGUGAGUGAAGAAGGUUUUCGGAUCGUAAAGCUCUGUUGUAAGUCAAGAACGAGUGUGAGAGUGGAAAGUUCACACUGUGACGGUAGCUUACCAGAAAGGGACGGCUAACUACGUG
rnacentral:rRNA from 1 species